AAGAGCCAGCCCCUCUUCCCCCCUGACUCUUAGGACCCCCAUCGCAGUGGGGUGAGGCACCCCCUGCGAUGCGGGGAGGGCUGAGACUGGGGUCUGGGCUGUUCCAGACUUCAACACUCACCCCUUGUCCCCCCGCAGGGUUAAGGUGUGUGCUCGGUGGGGCUGGAGCGGCUGGCUUACCUCCUCGUGGCUUACAGCCUGGGUGCCUCAGCCGCCUCACUCCUGGUCCUGCUGGGCCUGUGGCUGCCACACCCGGUGCUCCUCGUGGCUGGAGCAGGGGUGCACCUGCUGCUCACCUUCAUCCUCUUUUUCUGGGCCCCUGUGCCUCGGGUCCUGCAACACAGCUGGAUCCUCUGUGUGGCAGCCGCCCUUUGGGGUGUGGGCAGUGCCCUGAACAAGACUGGACUCAGCACACUCCUGGGAAUCUUGUACGAAGACAAGGAGAGACAGGACUUCAUCUUCACCAUCUACCACUGGUGGCAGGCUGUGGCCAUCUUCACCGUGUACCUGGGCUCCAGCCUGCACAUGAAGGCUAAGCUGGCGGUGCUGCUGGUGACGCUGGUGGCGGCCGCGGUCUCCUACCUGCGGAUGGAGCAGAAGCUGCGGCGGGGCGUGGCCCCGCGCCAGCCCCGCAUCCCGCGGCCCCAGCACAAGGUGCGCGGUGACCGCUACUUGGAGGAGGACAACUCCGACGAGAGCGACGCGGAGGGCGAGUAUGGGGACGGCGCGGAGGAGGAGGCGCCGCCCCCAGGGCCCAGGCCUGGCCCCGAGCCCGCUGGACUCGGCCGCCGGCCCUGCCCGUACGAACAGGCGCGGGGGGGCGACGGGCCGGAGGAGCAGUGAGGGGCCGCCUGGUCCCCGGACUCAGCCUCCCUCCUCGCCGGCCUCAGUUUACCACCUCUUAGGUCGGAGGGACCCCCUCCGAGUCCCGCGCUGUCUUCAAAGGCUCCUGUCUCCCCUCCCCCACGUUGGGGACGCCCCUCCCAAAGCCCGGGUCACCUCCGGGCUUCCGCAGCCCCCUGCAAGGCGGAAUGGAGCCUUGGGAACCCCUCGCCCAAGCACAGGGGUUCGAAAAUACAGGUGAAACCCCGCGGGCCCUUAGCACGCGCCCCAGCGCCGGAGCAGGGUCAGGGUCUUCUUGCGACCCGGCCCCGCUCCAGAUCCCCCCAGCUCUCCGCCGCGGACCCGGGCGGCGUGUGAGCGCUCUUUGCACCUCCUAUCUCCAGGGUCCGCCGAGAGCCACGAUUUUUUACAGAAAAUGAGCAAUAAAGAGAUUUUGUACUGUCCUGACUGGGGAGUCCCAGGCCGCGGGGGACGGAGCGCCCCUCGGAUGCACGCCCGUCUGGCCUGGCCUCUGGGCGCCGUGGUGGGACGCCCUGACCUAGGGGGACCGCGGGGUGUGGGGAGUGCGGAGCCCUACU
rnacentral:lncRNA from 1 species